rnacentral:rRNA from 1 species
ACUAUUGGGCACUGGGCGGCAGCCUGGAGCAACACCUUCGGGUGGGAGAUGAAUGCCUUCGGGUUAAAACACCUUUGAUCAAGGACGAUAAUGACGGUACCUGCACAAGAAGCCCCGGCCAAUUACACGCCAGCAGCCGCGGUAACACGUAGGGGGCAAGCGUUGUCCGGAUUUAUUGGGCGUAAAGAGCUGGUAGGCAGUUGCGUAAGUAGGACGUGAAAACACAGCGCUCAAUCCGGAGACGCCAUUCGAAACUGCCUGGAUUAGAGUCCGGUAGGGGAGCAUGGAAUUCCUGGCGUAGCGGUGAAAUGCGCAGAUAUCAGGAGCAACACCAGUAGCGAAGACGGUGCUCUGGUCCGGAACUGACGCUGAGGAGCGAAAGCGUGGGUAGCGAACAGGAUUAGAUACCCUGGUAGUCCACGCCGUA